GGACAUGAUCAGGCCUGGAUGAAGUUGAGAAGGCAGUUUUUUUAAGGCGAAGGUGGAAGCUCUUGGCAGUGGUGGAUGCAGAGUGGUCGGGACAAGAAUGCUGAGCAGACCCUUAGUCCAACACCUUGGGGCCUGUGUUAACUUAGUGAGUGGAAGGAGAAGGAGGAGCCAAAGACAGAGACAGAAUAUCCGCUCCCUGGAGGCAGGCCCCAGCCCUGGACUGUUCACUUUUGAAUCCCCAGAGCCUAGCACGCACCUGCCACUUUGAAGUGUGUCCUGUGACGGAGAAACCUUAGCUAUACCUCAACGUUUUCCUUGGAGAGCCUUGGUUUUCUUCUGAUCUUCGGGCUGCUCAUUUUGGACACUUGGUCCCGUGCAGAUCCCCACACCAGGUUGUGCCCCGCACCACUUGGCACCUGGCCUGAAACCCAGGGUGGGUUAUUAGCGUCUUAGUCAAGUCCUGCGUCUGAGGGGCACGUGUUGUCCCCAGACCGUGUCUCCCGAGGGCUCAGCCUUUGAAUCUACUUAAAGCCAUUCCCAGCCCUGCCUAUGGGUUCCUUUCCCAGACCCCCAAACAACACGUUUCUUGACUGUUUUGUGUGGUUUUUCGGCAGGUUGGAUUUUCUCAUUUAUGAUGUUUGGAGAGGGAAUCAGGUUUCUCUCCUCACCCUGCUACUCUCUGCUCCCUCUGUGGGUUCUGGGACGUGUUGCCAAUCUGUAAAUGAUGUUUUAGUU